GCGCACCCUAACUCAGCAUUCCAACGGCCGGUGCCCUAGGGCCGUUUGUAAGGCAGUUAUCCCAGGUGCUAAACGCACCGAGCAUUGAUUUUCUGGGGAGCUGUACCUCAUAUUUUGCUCUUACUUGUUCCAGUUUCCUGGGAAGAACGAGUCGGGUCUGGGAAGGCAGCGCUCCUGAGCCUACGCGGUCCUCUUGGCUGUAGCUGGAACAGUCUCCUGCUUUAGGGCAACCUGCGCAGUUGAGAACAUCUGAGGCUUCGCCAUCACGCAGGGCCAGAAGGGAUCACACAUCCCGCGGAGCAGCAUUCUUUCUUCUCGCCUUGAAUGCUGGACGCGAUCUGCACUUGCUCCGGAGGGAGAUUCCAAGGCAACAGAUGCACAGCUUUAGAAGAGGGGAAAAUAGCAGAAAAAAAGUGAAGGAAAUGUAUUCACAGGGAACAGUGGGAAGAAAUCUCCAGUGGAAAUUGUACAUAAGGAAGAGGAAUCCAGUGGAUCAAUGUGGAAGGUAAAGACAUUCAGGAAUGAGCUAAGAGGAAACACAGCACCCUUGCAGCUGAGAUACACAUGCUUUGGAGACUGAUGUGAGAGCCCACAGCAGAUCAUAUUGCCAGAGGGAGGGUGAACCAUUUGUCAUGCUGGGGGUGACCUUGAGAUGUCUCUGAAGUCACUUAUCCCUGUAACUUCCCAGGGGCUCUCCAAGAAUGGCCUGACCACCUGCUCAAGCUGGAGCACAUGCAGCCCUGAUUUUGUGCCAGGAUGAGGGAGAACAGCAAAAGGGCUGUGAUCUGUAUGGAGAGCAUCUAUUUUACCUUCAGAUUUGAAAGACAGAGUUUUAAAAUAAGAAACCUCUCCCAUCCCCUCUCCCCAUCCUGGUUCAGCUGCUGGGACCUCUGGCACCAGCAGGUGCAGACUGCUCUUGGGGCAGGGGUGGAAGGGCCGGCCACAGAGAUGGACACAGGGGCUGGACUGGCACUAGGGCUACUCUCCUUUGCAGCUGUCUAGGGAGUGGAGAGGCAAGCACGGGGGUGGCAAUGGCAGGAUCCAGCUCUAGCAUGGGCCUCGGCUCCAACUCUGAUCAAGCUCUGACUCGGACUCAGGCUUGGGCAUUGACUCUCUGAGGCACAGAGAUGACAGGGACUGCCAUGUGAGAAGGGCAGGUACACUCGGGAUUUCUCAAGGCUGCGUGUGCAAGGGAGCCCCACACAAUGGUGAGGCUGUGCAACAAGGCUGUGACCAGAAGUUCGCCCUGCCAACAGGGCUGCACCUGCUCAAGGCUCUGUGAGUCCAGCUGAAGGGACAUCAGGCUGGAUCCCCCAGGGCCACAUGGCACUGAGGCUCCAGUGUCUGGCAGAAGACCUAGGCCCGCCAGGUACUCCUGGGGCUCUGGGUCCUUGGGAACCCCCAGGGGCUGCACCACAGUCACCUCCUCGCCCUUGGCUCCCUCCAACCACCAUUGCUAGUGAAGGAUUUCCGCUGUACCCUGUCCAAAAGGUCCGGGCUGAGGAGUGAGCUCAGGAGCUCCUCCAGGGCUGGGCUGGCCGCACACAGGAGCUUGUAGCUCCCCCUCUGGAUGCAGUCACACAGCUCCGCAAGUCCUUCCCGCUGAAGGGCAUGGCCCCCGCCAGCAUGGCAAAGAGGAUGACCCCCAGGCUCCACAUAUCUGAAGCAAAGGGGUCGUAGGGCUCCAGCUGGAACUCCUCCGGGGAGCGGUACUCCGGGGUCCCGCGGAAGCCCUGCACCAGCUCGCCCUCGGGCAGAUGGCAGCUGAGCCCAUAGUCUGCCAGCUUCACGUUGAGCUGAGAGUCCAGCAGCAGGUUCCCCAGCUUGAGGUCCCUGUGCGCCACCCGCUGUGCGUGGCAGUGGCCCACGGCCGCCAGGACUUGGUCAAACAUGACCAUGACCUUGGGCUCUGGCAGGCUGCCCCGGCUCAUCACAUGCUGGUAGAGGUCGCCCCCGUCCACCAGCUCCAUCACCAGGCAGUGGUAAUGGCCGACACGACCCACCUCCAGCAGCUGCACGAUAUUCAGGUGCCUCAGGAGCUGCAUGAUGCUGGCCUCUUGCGUCACUCACCUGGUGCCGAACGGGUCACUGGUGUGUAAAUGGAAGAGCUUCACAGCUACGUGCCGCUGGCUGGACGCCUGGCGGGCCAGCACCACCAUGCCAAAGCUGCCCCGGCCCAGGGCUGACAGCAACUGGAGCUCAGGCUAAGAGCUGGCGAUUGGAAUCCAGGUCCUCACGGCUUCCAGGCUGGUGUCCCUAACUACGCUCUCUGCACUACUCUGUCCAAUAGUCCUGUCCAUGUACACUAACUAAGGAGCAACCCUAACUACAAUAACUAACAAAGGGACAACAAGGGGACUACCUGCUGAUCUGACUAUGGUACCACACUUGCUACACUAACUACCCUAGCACAUGGUGGCAAGACUAAGUCCUAUCUAACCAAUACAGAAAAUAAUAAAAAGUUAAUAACUCCAAAACAACAAACACUAAAUAGCUACACUAACACUCAGACAUCUAGCCGCGCUGUCUAGCUACAGAUGCGUGAAGCAAAAAAUAAAAAAAAAAAAAAUUGCAAAAAAAGACAAAAUGGGGCAAACAAUAAAUGGGUGGAAAAAACAAACUGGGGGAAAGAAUAAACAAAAUAGAACAAGAAACAAAAUAGCACACCAACACCAACAAGCAGAAAUGCUAGAAUGAUGAGUCCAAGUUAUGCAGGUCACUAAAAUACCUUCAGGGUAAGGUGCACAAAAAGCUGGGCCAGGGAGCUGCAUAUAUAGAUGUGUGGACUUCAGUCACCAUAGGGCUCCUGAUGAGGUCAGAGCAAGAAAGGGACCAAUGGCAGUUCUGCAGGGACUGGCAUGAAUUUGUAUUUCAUUAGUGCUGGUCCUUAUGAAGUCAGAGCAGGUGAACACUUGGCCACUUUUUGCUCUUUUCCCGGGCAAUGAGCAAAGAAUGGAUCAGAAGGAAAGCAGCCAGGACAUGAAUGGGUGCCAGAUGGGGCGCCAGUGUCUCAGGGGGUGGCUUUUCAUGUCGUCACAGAGGCUGACCCCAUCCUGGGUCACUGCCACAUUUUCUAGGAUAGGAAUUAUCAUAGUGGUGAUCUACACCAGCUCCUGGUGCUGUACGAGCAUCACAAAUGCAGUACAUAAAUGCUGUUGCAGAUUGACUAGUUCCUUUUAAAAUGUGAGGGGAGUGGCCAGCAUCAGGACACAGUAGAUUAAGUUGCUGCCUAUGACACCAGCAUCCACAUCGGAUGGUGUGGUACAGGUCCCAGCUGCUGUGUUUCUGAUCCGACUUCCUGAUGGAGCUCCUGGCUCCUGGCUUCAGCCUGGCCCAGCACAAGCUGUUGCAGCCAUUUCAGGGGUGAACCCGCAGAUCUCUCUCUCUCCCUGACUCUCCCCCUCUCCACUGCUCUACCUUUGAAGAACAUGUUUUUAAAAAAUCAUUAAAAAUAUGUUAGGAGUGGGUGAAGGAGAAGGAGCAUUGUGCAUACUCAGUAACACUGCUUUCUAGAGUGCCGACAUCGCCACUGGGAACCAGUUCCUGAGCAGGAUGCUCCACUGCUAACCCAGCUCCCUACUGAUGGCCUGGGAAAAGCUGCAAAAGAUGUUCCAUAUUCUGGGGGCCCUGCCACCCAAGUGAGAGACCUCAGUGAAGCUCCUGGCUCCUGACUUUAGCCUGUCCUAGCCUUAGUACUGUGACAUUAUGGGAGUGAAGCAGCUAAUGAAAUGUAUGAAAUGUCUCACUCUCCCUUUCUCUUUUCUCUGGCUCUCUCUCUCUCUGUCCCCUCUAACUAGGACAUUCAAAUUUAUAAAUAUAUGUAACAGGAAACAUAUUUCCCCCAAUUUUGACUGCUUCAGGAAUAUUGUAACAAAAUGUCUCCCAUUUACUUCCCAUGAAAUGGUUUCAACCUAUUCUGGCAUA